GAGUAGAGGACUCAGGUCUUCAGAGCCCCAGAGGCCUGAACCAUUUAGUGAUUUCUUUACACUCUCCCUGAAUGCAAGUGAUGCUGUUUGGUAACCGAUCCUUCCUUCAGAAGUGGGCCUGGCCUGUACUGUGCUGUGCAAAGUCGCUUAGUGUCCGACUCUUUGCGACGCUAUGGACCGCAGCCCACCAGGCUUCUCUGUCCAUGGGAUUCUCCAGGCAAGAAUAUGGGAGGGGGUUGCCAUGCCCUUCUGCAAGGACUCUUCGCCCAAGGAUCGAACCCUUACGUGUCCUGCAUUGGCAGGAGGGUUCUUUACCACUAGCGCCAUCUGGGAGGCCCUGACCUGCACUGCUGCGGCUGCUGCUAAGUCGCUUCAGUCGUGUCCGACUCUGUGCGAUCCCAUAGACGGCAGCCCACCAGGCCCCACUGUCCCUGGGAUUCUCCAGGCAAGAACACUGGAGUGGGUUGCCAUUUCCUCCUCCAAUGCAUGAAAGUGAAAAGUGAAAGUGAAGUCGCUCAGUCGUGUCCGACUCUUCGUGACCCCAUGGACUGCAGCCUACCAGGCUCCUCCGUCCAUGGGAUUUUCCAGGCAAGAGUACUGGAGUGGGGUGCCAUUGCCUUCUCCAAUACUCAGUACUAGCCGGCCAAAAAUUGAAAUUCCACUGGAAGCCAGUCAUUACAGGAAGCCUGGAACUUGCAGAGGAAGACAGGUGGCUUUGAUGGUUAUUGAUUAGUUCACUAGGUACGGAUGGAAGUUUUCAAAGAGACCGAAUGAAAUACCAGGUCCUGAGCUUGGGCCUCAUGUUGCUGCUGCCACGAGGAACAGGUGGGAAGGCUCCGGAGUGUCAGAUGUGUCAAGUACAGGACUGACAUUGACUGGUUCCAGUCGAUGGAAGUUGAUGCAAAUCAGUGCCAUUUCCUCUGCAGCGAUAAUUAACCCGCCGCAACCUUGUAGGAGCAGGUAGUUUGGGGAGAAUGGUGAGGAGAUGUUGGAGGCAGAUUAGCAUUUUUCAGCUCUCAUGGUGAUUUGUGCUGAAUUUCAGUGUGCGGGCACGCGGUUCCAACUCAUUACCAUAAAAGAACCUCAUAAAUUCAAUUGCUAGGCAGGGAAAAUCGACUGUUUAGACAGAGGGCCUGGGAUGCUAGUCUGCUCUGAGGGCCUGUGGGAGGCCUGGUCCCCACCUGAGUGUCCUCAAUUUCCUGAUCUGACCUCUAGAAUUCGUCCAGCCCAGGGACCUACGAUCCUACUCAUUGUAACCAGUGAGGGGCCUGCCUGGGGCCCGAGGAAGCAUCUAGCCUGCCUGCCUGAGCAGUCGCCAACAGACGACACGUGAUCUUCAUUUCCAGUCACUUGGAAGACAGCACUGCCUCCUUGGGCCCUCUGCGCAUGAGUAGCUGCCCCGUGAUUAAGGGUGGUGGGCUUAUUUUGGGGGGAUCAAGUGGCCCAGUGAAACUGAUUACUUGCAGGGGGUGGGGCUCUCUGUUUUGGUCAUUUUGAUCCCAGCAUUUAGCACAAGGCACUCAAGACCCAAGAACCAUUCGUGGAAAGAGGGAAGAAAGACCAGAGGGAAGAACAUUUCCCUGGAAAUCCUUCCUUAU
ensembl:lncRNA